GUAGACAGUGUCAGCAGAAUGUAUCACAUAUCAAGUUGAAGAAGUAGACAGUAUUUUGAUAUGUGAUACAUUCUGCUGACACUGUCCAC
rnacentral:pre_miRNA from 1 species